rnacentral:tRNA from 1 species
CAUUAAGUGGCUGAAAUAUUAAGCAUUGGUCUCUUAAACCAAAUUAUAGUAAUUUAUAAAUACUCUUAAUGG